rnacentral:rRNA from 1 species
UACGGAGGGGGCAAGCGUUGUUCGGAGUGACUGGGCGUAAAGCGCACGUAGGUUGUAUGGAAAGUUAUUGGUUAAAGGCAACAGCUUAACUGUAGUAAGGCCAGUAAAACUUCUGUACUGGAGUAUCGAAGAGGAAUGCGGAAUAUCUGGUGUAGCGGUGGAAUGCGCAGAUAUCAGAUGGAACACCUUUAGCGAAGGCGGCAUUCUGGUCGAUAACUGACACUGAGGUGCGAAAGCGUGGGUAGCAAACAGG